rnacentral:sRNA from 1 species
GUCGUACCGGUUAGAUCGGGAUACUCAUCAAAAAAAAUACCGAAAACUGGGAACGUUUCACUUGUCAAUGGCGGGCCACAUCCUAUGAGGGAAGCAGCAAUGCCGGUGGAUUACAACGACGGUGAGCACCCAAAUCUUAUGCAAAUAGGAGUUUUCAUCACAAUCACGGUACGACCUCUUU